rnacentral:rRNA from 1 species
ACGAACGCUGGCGGCGUGCUUAACACAUGCAAGUCGAGCGGAAAGGCCACUUCGGUGGUACUCGAGCGGCGAACGGGUGAGUAACACGUGAGUAAUCUGCCCUUCACUUCGGGAUAGCUUCCGGAAACGGAGAUUAAUACCGGAUAUGACCAUGGAUUGCAUGAUCUUGUGGUGGAAAGUUUUUUCGGUGGGGGAUGUGCUCGCGGCCUAUCAGCUUGUUGGUGGGGUAAUGGCCUACCAAGGCUUCGACGGGUAGCCGGCCUGAGAGGGUGACCGGCCACACUGGGACUGAGACACGGCCCAGACUCCUACGGGAGGCAGCAGUGGGGAAUAUUGGACAAUGGGCGGAAGCCUGAUCCAGCAACGCCGCGUGAGGGAUGACGGCCUUCGGGUUGUAAACCUCUUUCAGCACAGACGAAGCCUUGUCUUUUUGGGUGGGGUGACGGUAUGUGCAGAAGAAGCACCGGCCAACUACGU